UUUCAGUGCGUUAUAAAAAGGUCCUGGCAUUGGACUCGCCGUAUUGCGAAUUCCAACCUUUAUCCCAGAGAUACCAAGACGCCUCACACUGCAUCGCAGCUAUCUGCGGGUACAUCCACGACGUCGUCGUCACGACGCGGAGUCUAGGAGGGGGAAAGGUCUCCUCUCGCGAGUCGCGUUUGGAAAUCAUCCAGACGCUGCAUCCACAGUCCGGCACGGAGAGCCCUUAGGGCGUCUCGUGUGACUUUGGUCUGCUGGAGUGGCGUCUAGAGUUUGUCGCUCCAGUUUAAAAAUUACUAACCACAUGUAGAAGUUUAGGACGUUUCGUGACAGUAGUUUUAGUUUCGAUGAAGCUCUAUAUAAUAUGAAGGAGCACAGUGGAGAAUUAUUAAAAGAAAGAAAGACAUCAUGUCCAGUAGACCCAAUUUGGAUGCGACCUCCUAGGACCUGAAGGACCUUGCUACCGAAUUAUGCAUGUCUCUGAUCAAGACAGCCGUCUUCGAAGAUGAUGUCGACAGAAGAGUAUCAAUAUUAGCUAUUGUGUCGAGCUAAAAUUGAACCAAUCUUUUCGUAAUUCUCCUUUUCGAAAAAGCUUCGAUAUAUAAUAUAUAAUCAAGAUAUCAUAUUUCCGUCCCGAUUUGUAUAUACUGGAUAGUUAAUUGUAACUUUAGUUGAUAAUAAGAUAAGAAACCUGGAUGAAAUUUGUUAUCUUCCUAUUAUUCAAUGUAUUAUGUAGAGCUUCUUCUAGUUGCUUUAAUAUUUAACAUUAUGCUUAAGAAUAUAUACCCUCUGAUUUGAUUUGAUGAUAGAGAAACUAGAUGAAAUUGUAUAAUUUAGGAGAGUUAUUUUAGUAUUCAACUGUGUAUAUUGAGAAGUAAUUCGAACUGCAUGUUAUUUUAUAAACAUAUACAAUAACGUAAAGUUUUUAUAUAUUGAUAUAUGAAUGAAUAGAAGAGUCAAUUUGUGAAAGCAAAAUAGUUGUCUACAAUUUCCGAUUUGGGUAGAGUGAAAAGUUCAAAAAUUACCACAUGCAGGAUUACCUCAUUGAUAAUACAACGCUUUUGAAACAGUGAAACAACUAUAGUGCUUAUUUCAAUAAACGCUGAAAUAGAAAAGAAUAUGAGAAGAAUACAGUUAUAAUAUCCAUCCAAAUAAAAUUGUUAAAAACA